UAAGAGGUCCCGCCUGCCCUGUGAUCAUGAAUUUAACGGCCGCGGUAUUUUGACCGUGCAAAGGUAGCGCAAUCACUUGUCUUUUAAAUGGAGACCUGUAUGAAUGGCAUAACGAGGGCUUAACUGUCUCCCUUUUUUAGUCAAUGAAAUUGAUCUUCCCGUGCAGAAGCGGGAAUAAAAACAUAAGACGAGAAGACCCUGUGGAGCUUUAGACAAUAAAUAACACUCGUCAAAUACUCUUAACCAAAAAAUUGAACGAAAAGUGCUCUAUUUUGCUGUCUUUGGUUGGGGCGACCGCGGGGUAAAAAGAAACCCCCACGUGGCAUAGAAACACCCUUUCUUUAAUUAAGAGUGACAACCCUAAAUAUUAGAACAUCUAACCUACAAUGACCCGGCUCUGCUGCCGAUCAACGAAACUAGUUACCCCAGGGAUAACAGCGCAAUCCUUUCCCAGAGCCCAUAUCGACGAUAGGGUUUACGACCUCGAUGUUGGAUCAGGACAUCCUAAUGGUGCAGCAGCUAUUAAGGGUUCGUUUGUUCAACG
rnacentral:rRNA from 1 species